AGCAUUGUGGCGCAGGGGUAGCGCGCAGGGCCCAUAACCCUGAGGUCACUGGAUCGAAACCAGUCGAUGCUA